UGAAUACGAGACGCUAAGGCGUCGAAGUAGUGUAUGUCAUACUUCCAAGAAAAGCUUGCACUGUCAUAGAUAAAAAACGCCUGUACCAUAACCGACACAGGUGGGUAGGUAGAGUAUACUAAGGGGCGCGAGAUAACUCUCUCUAAGGAACUCGGCAAAAUAACUCCGUAACUUCGGGAGAAGGAGUGCCUUAUUCGUAAGGUUGCAAUAACAAGAUCCAAGCAACUGUUUAUCAAAAACACAGGUCUCCGCUAAGUCGUAAGACGAUGUAUGGGGGCUGACGCCUGCCCAGUGCCAGAAGGUUAAAGAAGUUGGUUAGCAAUUGCGAAGCUGAUAACUGAAGCCCUGGUGAACGGCGGCCGUAACAAUAACGGUCCUAAGGUAGCGAAAUUCCUUGUCGGGUAAGUUCCGACCCGCACGAAAGGCGUAAUGAUUUGGAUACUGUCUCGGAGAGGGGCUCGGUGAAAUAGACUUGUCUGUGAAGAUGCGGACUACCUGCACCAGGACAGAAAGACCCUAUGAAGCUUUACUGUAACUUGAAAUUGAAAUUGGACUUUAUUCGCGCAGUAUAGGUGGGAGGCGUUGAUUAUAAUCUUGUGGGAUUAUUGGAGCCAUCAGUGAGAUACCACUCUUGUAAUGUUAGAUUUCUAACUUUGAAUCAUUAUCUGGUCAAAGAACAGUUUCAGGCGGGCAGUUGACUGGGGCGGUCGCCUCCUAAACGGUAACGGAGGCGUACAAAGGUUUCCUCUGAACGGUUAGAAAUCGUAUCUAGAGUGUAAAGGCAUAAGGAAGCUUGACUGUGAGACCUACAAGUCGAGCAGGGUCGAAAGUCGGUCUUAGUGAUCUGACGGUACUGAGUGGAAAGGCCGUCACUCAACGGAUAAAAGUUACUCUAAGGAUAACAGGCUGAUCUCCCCCAAGAGUUCACAUCGACGGGGAGGUUUGGCACCUCGAUGUCGGCUCAUCGCAUCCUGGGGCGGUAGUACGUCCCAAGGGUUGGGCUGUUCGCCCAUGAAAGCGGUACGCGAGCUGGGUUCAGAACGUCGUGAGACAGUUCGGUCCAUAUCCGGUGUAGGCGUUAGAAUAUUGAGAGGAGCCUUCUUUAGUACGAGAGGACCGAGAAGGACAUACCUCUGGUGUACCAGUUAUCGUGCCAACGGUAAACGCUGGGUAGCUAUGUAUGGAGUGGAUAACCGCUGAAAGCAUCUAAGUGGGAAGCCCACCUCAAGAUAAGUAUUCC
rnacentral:rRNA from 1 species